rnacentral:rRNA from 1 species
CCUACGGGUGGCAGCAGUGGGGAAUAUUGCACAAUGGGGGAAACCCUGAUGCAGCGACGCCGCGUGAGGGAGGAAGUAUUUCGGUAUGGAAAGCCCUAUCAGCAGGGAAGAAAAUGCCGGUACCUGUCUAAGAAGCACCGUCUAACUAGGUGCCAGCAGCCGCGGUAAUACGUAGGGGGCAGGGGUUAUCCGGAUUAACUGGGUGUAAAGGGAGCGUAGACGGCUAAUCAAGUCAGAAGUGAAAACCCAGGGCUCAACUUUGGGACUGCUUUUGAAACUGAGUAGCUAGAGUGCAGGAGAGGUAAGCGGAAUUCCUGGUGUAGCGGUGAAAUGCGUAGAUAUUAGGAGGAACACCAGUGGCGAAGGCGGCUUACUGGACUGUAACUGACGUUGAGGCUCGAAAGCGUGGGGAGCAAACAGGAUUAGAUACCCGGGUAGUC